AUGGAAGGAAGCAAGCCGCCGUUUCUUGCGAUCCGGCCAAGCAAAGAUCCGGGAGGCAAUCUUACAUGUGCUAGUCAACCCGCAAGGAUCACCUCCAUCCUUACGCUACUCUCGUUGCUGCUCCUUUCUUGCGGAGUCGGCAGCAUCCGCUGCUCCUCCUCAACGAUGGCAAUCCAUGAUAACAGCACGGACAUGAUGUCGCUGCUAGAUUUCAAGCGGGCCAUCACCAACGACCCAAGUCAAGCCUUGAGAUCUUGGGACCUCGGCGUCCCCCUUUGCGGAUGGAACGGCGUCGUCUGCAGCGGCCUGGAGCACCCGGGGCGAGUCAUCGAGCUGAACCUUAUGAACCUAUCUUUGUCGGGCACGAUUUCACUAUCCCUCGGAAUCUAUCAUUCCUUAGGAGAUUGGACCUGUCCACUAAUGGCUUCACCGGCGAGAUACCUCCUCUCAACCGUCUCCAAAGAUUGGAGUACCUUCUCUUGGGACAGAACUCACUGCAAGGGACCAUUCCGGAUACUCUUACAAACUACUCUAAUCUAUACGAACUAUUCCUGUCUAGCAACUUACUAA
rnacentral:rRNA from 1 species